GGUUUAGAUCCUGGCGUCAGGAUGAACGACGUACGCGGCAGGCGUUAACACAUGCAAGUCGAGGGGUAGUAGUUCUUCGGAGCUAGAGACCGCGGCACGGUGCGUAACGCGUAUGUCAAUCUACCUUUACUAGGGGAUAGCCCAGUAGAAAUUUGGAUUAAUAACCCCAUAGUAUAAUUGAAUGGCAUCAUUUAAUUAUUAAAGUCACACGGUAAAAGAUGAGCAUGCGUCCCAUUAGCUAGUUGGUAAGGUAACGGCUUACCAAGGCAACGGAUGGGUAGGGGGUCCUGAGAGGGAGAUCCCCCACACUGGUACUGAGACACGGACCAGACUCCUACGGGAGGCAGCAGUGAGGAAUAUUGGUCAAUGGGCGCAAGCCUGAACCAGCCAUGCCGCGUGCAGGAUGACGGUCCUAUGGAUUGUAAACUGCUUUUGCACAGGAAGAAACACUGAUUCGUGAAUCAGCCUGACGGUACUGUGAGAAUAAGGAUCGGCUAACUCCGUG
rnacentral:rRNA from 1 species